UACGAAGGGGGCUAGCGUUGCUCGGAAUGACUGGGCGUAAAGGGCGCGUAGGCGGAUGGCACAGUCAGAUGUGAAAUUCCUGGGCUUAACCUGGGGGCUGCAUUUGAUACGUGUGAUCUAGAGUGAGGAAGAGGGUUGUGGAAUUCCCAGUGUAGAGGUGAAAUUCGUAGAUAUUGGGAAGAACACCGGUGGCGAAGGCGGCUCUCUGGACCGUAACUGACGCUGAGGCGCGAAAGCGUGGGGAGCAAACAGG
rnacentral:rRNA from 1 species